rnacentral:rRNA from 1 species
AGAGUUUGAUUUCCUGGCUCAGAGCGAACGCUGGCGGAAUGCUUAACACAUGCAAGUCGCACGGGCAGCAAUGUCAGUGGCGGACGGGUGAGUAACGCGUAGGAAUGUGUCCUGAGAUGGGGGACAACGCCGGGAAACUGGCGCUAAUACCGCAUGUGACCUGAGGGUCAAAGCCGCGAGGCGUCUUAGGAGCAGCCUGCGUCCGAUUAGCUUGUUGGUGGGGUAAAGGCUUACCAAGGCACGAUCGGUAGCUGGUCUGAGAGGAUGAUCAGCCACACUGGAACUGAGACACGGUCCAGACUCCUACGGGAGGCAGCAGUGGGGAAUAUUGGACAAUGGGCGCAAGCCUGAUCCAGCAAUUCCGCGUGGGUGAAGAAGGUCUUCGGAUUGUAAAGCCCUUUCGACGGGGACGAUGAUGACG